AACGCACAUUGCGCCCCCUGGUAUUCCGGGGGGCAUGCCUGUCCGAGCGUCAUUGCAACCUUCAAGCGCGGCUUGUGUGUUGGGCCUCGUCCCCCGUGGACGGGCCCGAAAGGCAGUGGCGGCGCCCGAACCGGUGCCUGAGCGUAUGGGUAACCUUUCGCGCUCAGCAGGCCCGGAGCGGCGCUGGUCGUUAACCAAUCUUUUUACCGGUUGACCUCGGAUCAGGUAGGGAUACCCGCUGAACUUAA
rnacentral:misc_RNA from 1 species